rnacentral:tRNA from 2 species
CAAAGAAUAGUUUAAUUUAGAAUUC